rnacentral:ribozyme from 1 species
GGGAAUGAAGGAAAGAAGAAGAGAGGAAAAAAAGGAGCGGAAGAAGAAGAAGAAAAAAGGCAAACGAAACAUCCUAGUAGACUGACGUGUGUGUUUUUCCCCCUCCCCUCUUCUUCCUCUUCUUCUAGCCUG